UAGCAGACUAAUCAAACAAAGAAAUAAAAAAAUACAUAACAAAAAACUAAUAGUACAAAUUGCGAAAAUAGAAAGAACUCGGACGACUCUAAAAGCACAUCCAGUGAGUAAUUUUCACUAGAAGUUUUCACCAUUAAACAAAAAAAAAUUGUUAAGAGAGAAAAAGAAAUAGGAGUUUCAAAUGAAAUUUUUUGAGAACCUCUUUAGA
rnacentral:lncRNA from 1 species